rnacentral:lncRNA from 1 species
AGUAAACCCCAUUAUAUUCUUACCUCGAACGGAGAGGCGCGUAGGGUAUCUCCUAGGGUAAAGUUUAGGGUUCACUUCACGCUAAACCACCACGUGAGGGGGAACUCAGCCAACGCUAAGGAACGGCUAUGUUUUCAAAACAAAAACAUGAUUUAUGUGAAAUGUGAAUUUUAAUAACCUUGGCGGUCUCGGUAGGAUGCCUCGGCCAAGGUGUCCCUGAGGAUGGAUUUAUGGCACAAGCCUAGAUUUUUAUGAGAUUCAUAAGCUUCUUUACGUGUUUUGAACAAAAUGUGUUCUAAUGCUAUAACCCAGUUUAUGAUGAUUUACUUUAUUGUCUCCAUGUACUCAACUCUAG